GGCCUUGUGGCGAAAUUGGUAAACGCGUCGGACUUAAAAUCCGAUGAUCAGAAAUGGUCUUGAGGGUUCGAUUCCCUCCUUGGCUA
rnacentral:tRNA from 1 species